UGCAGGGAGGGGGUUACUGGAGAUCUCACAGUCAGGCUAAAGCUAGGGCAAUUACAUGGUUUAUGGGCAGGGCUAUGUAUGGUGUGAGACCGUGUUUGACUGAUGACACUGCAAAAACAGCCCGGUCAGGGGACCCGGUUACAUCAUCCCCUUCCCCGCCCCCAAUGGUUUGUACUACAGAAAUAACACUCCUCUCCUGAAAGAGCUUUACGUCUUCAAAGUGCUGUAUUAACUAUCAUCAGUCAUGACACCACAGUGUGAAGAGCAAACCCAUGGACCUGGUACGGAUGUAGUCUCUUUACUUCACUUGUGUGUCUAUUCAAUAAACUGGAAUUUCAAGGUCA